AGUGAACGCUGGCGGCAGGCCUAACACAUGCAAGUCGAACGGCAGCACAAGAGAGCUUGCUCUCUGGGUGGCGAGUGGCGGACGGGUGAGGAAUGCAUCGGAAUCUGCCCAUUUGUGGGGGAUAACCUCGGGAAACCGGGACUAAUACCGCAUACGCCCUACGGGUGAAAGCAGGGGAUCUUCGGACCUUCCGCACAUUGAUGAGCCGAUGCCGGAUUAGCUAGUUGGAGGGGUAAAGGCUCACCAAGGCGACGAUCCGUAGCUGGUCUGAGAGGAUGAUCAGCCACACUGGGACUGAGACACGGCCCAGACUCCUACGGGAGGCAGCAGUGGGGAAUAUUGGACAAUGGGCGCAAGCCUGAUCCAGCCAUGCCGCGUGUGUGAAGAAGGCCUUCGGGUUGUAAAGCACUUUUGUUGGGAAAGAAAAGCAGCCGGUUAAUACCCGGUUGUCAUGACGGUACCCAAAGAAUAAGCACCGGCUAACUUCGUG
rnacentral:rRNA from 1 species